rnacentral:lncRNA from 1 species
UUGAGAUACGAUCAGGGUUGAAUUCAAAAUCACAUUGCCAUGCCUGAACUAUGAAGGGUUUGUUGUGGUAUGUGUAAGGUCCCCCAAGUAAAACUUUGUCACAGUCUUCCUCCAAUUCAAAACAAAAUAUAAAGAAUCCAUCAUCAAGAGCUAAGACCUGUGGUUUUUGGGCAAAUUACCAUACAUUUGAGAUGUAUAGCUCCAUACUUUUUUGGUAUGGCUUAUCUAUUAUAACAAACCCUAUGAGUG